rnacentral:rRNA from 1 species
UGCCAGACUCCUACGGGAGGCAGCAGUGAGGAAUAUUGGUCAAUGGCCGGAAGGCUGAACCAGCCAAGUCGCGUGAGGGACGACUGCCCUAUGGGUUGUAAACCUCUUUUAUAAGGGAAGAAUAAAUGCUACGUGUAGCAUGAUGCCUGUACCUUAUGAAUAAGCAUCGGCUAACUCCGUGCCAGCAGCCGCGGUAAUACGGAGGAUGCGAGCGUUAUCCGGAUUUAUUGGGUUUAAAGGGAGCGUAGGCGGGUUGUUAAGUCAGUUGUGAAAGUUUGCGACUCAACCGUAAAAUUGCAGUUGAUACUGGCAUCCUUGAGUACAGUAGAGGUAGGCGGAAUUCGUGGUGUAGCGGUGAAAUGCUUAGAUAUCACGAAGAACUCCGAUUGCGAAGGCAGCCUGCUGGACUGUAACUGACGCUGAUGCUCGAAAGUGUGGGUAUCAAACAGGAUUAGAUACCCCAGUA